rnacentral:rRNA from 1 species
GAUUAGAGUUUGAUCCUGGCUCAGAUUGAACGCUGGCGGCAUGCCUUACACAUGCAAGUCGAACGGUAGCGGGCCUUCGGGUGCCGACGAGUGGCGAACGGGUGAGUAAUGUAUCGGAACGUACCAUUGAGUGGGGGAUAACGUAGCGAAAGUUACGCUAAUACCGCAUAUUCUCUCCGGAGGAAAGCAGGGGACCGCAAGGCCUUGCGCUCUUUGAGCGGCCGAUAUCAGAUUAGCUAGUUGGUGAGGUAAAGGCUCACCAAGGCGACGAUCUGUAGCGGGUCUGAGAGGAUGAUCCGCCACACUGGAACUGAGACACGGUCCAGACUCCUACGGGAGGCAGCAGUGGGGAAUUUUGGACAAUGGGGGCAACCCUGAUCCAGCCAUGCCGCGUGAGUGAAGAAGGCCUUCGGGUUGUAAAGCUCUUUCGGCCGGGAAGAAAUCGCAUGGGUUAAUACCCUGUGCGGAUGACGGUACCGGCAAAGAAGCACCC